rnacentral:rRNA from 1 species
UUCCGUGAUCUGCGACUCACUGCUAUCGGGAUGGGGCUAAGCUAUGCAAGUCAAGCGUCUCGGGCUAAUGCGAGAAUGCGGCACACGGCUCAGUAACACGUGCUAACUUACCCUAGGGACAGGAACAACCCCGGGAAACUGGGGCUAAUUCCUGAUAGGUGAAUAUGCCUGGAAUGGCUUUUCGCUGAAAGGAGACCAAAGUCAUGCUCUCUGAUCUUGCCCUAGGAUAGGGCCGCGCUCGAUCAGGUUGUUGGUGGGGUAACGGCCCACCAAGCCGAUAACCGGUACGGGCCCUGAGAGGGGAAGCCCGGAGAUGGGAACUGAGACAAGGUCCCAGGCCCUACGGGGCGCAGCAAGCGCGAAACCUCCGCAAUACGCGAAAGCGUGACGGGGUCAUCCCGAGUGCCGUCCGCUGAGGACGGCUUUUCCUCAGUGUAAAUAGCUGGGAGAAUAAGGGGAGGGCAAGACUGGUGUCAGCCGCCGCGGUAAUACCAGCUCCCCGAGUGGUGAGGAUGAUUAUUGGGCCUAAAGCGUUCGUAGCCGGUUUGGCAAGUCUCCCGUUAAAUCUACCGAUUCAAUCGGUAGGCUGCGGGAAAUACUGUCAGACUAGGAGGCGGAAGAGGCCGGCGGUAGUCCCGGGGUAGGGGUAAAAUCCUAUAAUCCCGGGAGGACCACCAGUGGCGAAGGCGGCCGGCCAGGACGCGCUCGACGGUGAGGGACGAAAGCUGGGGGAGCGAACCGGAUUAGAUAUCCGGGUAGUCCCAGCCGUAAACGAUGCGGGCUAGGUGUUGGGACAGCUACGUGCCGUUUCAGUGCCGCAGGGAAGCUGUUAAGCCCGCCGCCUGGGGAGUACGGCCGCAAGGCUGAAAUCUAAAGGGUUAGAAGACGCCAAUUGGUUGUCGACCGACUCUUCUGACAGCAAACUUAAAGGAAUUGGCGGGGGAGCACCACAAGGGGUGAAGCCUGCGGUUCAAUUGGAAUCAACGCCGGU